rnacentral:rRNA from 1 species
AGACUCUCGGCAACGGAUAUCUCGGCUCUUGCAUCGAUGAAGAACGUAGCGAAAUGCGAUACUUGGUGUGAAUUGCAGAAUCCCGUGAACCAUCGAGUCUUUGAACGCAAGUUGCGCCCAAAGCCAUUAGGCUGAGGGCACGCCUGCCUGGGUGUUGCGCA